rnacentral:rRNA from 1 species
GACGAACGCUGGCGGCGUGCUUAACACAUGCAAGUCGAACGGAAAGGCCCUUCGUUUGUGGGGUGCUCGAGUGGCGAACGGGUGAGUAACACGUGAGUAACCUGCCCUUGACUUUGGGAUAACUUCAGGAAACUGGGGCUAAUACCGGAUAGGAGCUCCUGCUGCAUGGUGGGGGUUGGAAAGUUUCGGCGGUUGGGGAUGGACUCGCGGCUUAUCAGAUUGGUGGUGGGGUAGUGGCUUGCCAAGGCUUUGACGGGUUGACGGACUGAGAGGGUGACCGGCCACAUUGGGACUGAGAUACGGCCCAGACUCCUACGGGAGGCAGAAGUGGGGAAUAUUGCACAAUGGGCGGAAGCCUGAUGCAGCAACGCCGCGUGCGGGAUGACGGCCUUCGGGUUGUAAACCGCUUUCGCCUGUGACGAAGCGUGAGUGACGGUAAUGGGUAAAGAAGCACCGGCUAACUACGUG